UCCCUCCCUGGGCUUACCUUUAAGAGGGGGGGUGGUACUCCAAUGACUACCUUCUCUUGAAAGUUCUCCUGAGUCCCGAUGAGUGAGGCACACUACAUAUUUGUAGUGUGCCUUAAUGCGGGUUCAACCAGCUCCCCUCUUAACAUGUCCGACCAAGAGGAGAGGAGAGAGAGUAAGUAGGCCCAAGCUUUUGCCAGAGCUAUCAGCCUACUGAGUUAUAAUCUGGGGUAUGAAUAUGACAGUCCGGAUGACCAUCCAUGGACUACAAAGGAAGUGGCAUUCCCCAAGAGAUUUCCCAAGAGGAUUUGUUGAGUAAGGGGUGAUGCAUAAGUUAACUGAAAAGAUACACUGAAAGGAAUAAUAACCACAAACAGCUGACACAUUAAUUAAUAGUCUAGUGAACAUACAUUGAAUAUAUUGAAUGAAUGCUAUAUUUAAGUUAUUACUAUCACUAAAUUGAUGAUAAUUGUUGUUAAUGAUAAGUAGCCCAUCUCA